GAAGAUUCCCUAGCGGCUUUCUGCUAAUGAAUGACCCAAGAGUAACACCACCACAAUCUGCGGGAAAUGAUCUGCAGGGUUGAAAUGAAAUGUUUUGAGCUCUUCAAGCUGACUCAUCAGAAUCCAGGAGCCUAGUAAAAAUGAUGAAGUGCCUGACAUGGGAAUCAUAGAUUUUAAUGAAGGAACGUGGAAAUUAAUAAAACAUAUAUGUCUAAGCAGCAGAGCCUCUGCUUCAUUCCUGA